rnacentral:rRNA from 1 species
AGUGGCGGACGGGUGAGUAAAGCAUCGGGACCUACCCAGACGUGGGGGAUAACGUAGGGAAACUUACGCUAAUACCGCAUACGUCCUACGGGAGAAAGCGGGGGACCUUCGGGCCUCGCGCGGCUGGACGGACCGAUGUGCGAUUAGCUGGUUGGCGGGGUAAUGGCCCACCAAGGCGACGAUCGCUAGCUGGUCUGAGAGGAUGAUCAGCCACACUGGGACUGAGACACGGUCCAGACUCCUACGGGAGGCAGCAGUGGGGAAUAUUGGACAAUGGGCGCAAGCCUGAUCCAGCAAUGCCGCGUGUGUGAAGAAGGCCUUCGGGUUGUAAAGCACUUUUAUCGGGAGCGAAAUACCAUUGGCUAAUAACCGGUGGGGCUGACGGUACCCGAGGAAUAAGCACCGGCUAACUUCGUGCCAGCAGCCGCGGUAAUACGAAGGGUGCAAGCGUUAAUCGGAAUUACUGGGCGUAAAGGGUGCGUAGGCGGUUUGUUAAGUCUGUCGUGAAAUCCCCGGGCUCAACCUGGGAAUGGCGAUGGAAACUGGCAGGCUAGAGUGUGUCAGAGGAUGGUGGAAUUCCCGGUGUAGCGGUGAAAUGCGUAGAGAUCGGGAGGAACAUCAGUGGCGAAGGCGGCCAUCUGGGACAACACUGACGCUGAAGCACGAAAGCGUGGGGAGCAAACAGGAUUAGAUACCCUGGUAGUCCACGCCCUAAACGAUGCGAACUGGAUGUUGGUCUCAACUCGGAGAUCAGUGUCGAAGCUAACGCGUUAAGUUCGCCGCCUGGGGAGUACGGUCGCAAGACUGAAACUCAAAGGAAAUUGACGGGGGCCCGCACAAGCGGUGGAGUAUGUGGUUUAAUUCGAUGCAACGCGAAGAACCUUACCUGGCCUUGACAUGUCGCGAAUCCUGCAGAGAUGCGGGAGU